rnacentral:tRNA from 1 species
AGAUUUAAAAGAAUAGAUAUAUAUCAUUUUCUA